UUUAUUUUUUAAAAAAUACCUAACGACUUUGUUUGAAGAUAACCGCUUUUUUAUUUUUUAAAAAAUAUAAAUUCUUUGUACUUUUCUAUAAUUUUUGUAACCACCUAUUCUAUCAGCAUUUAUAACUUAUUGGAUUCAAACUACUGAUCCAAAAUGCUCAAAUCUAGUCGUUAUUAUCUAUAAUCUAUCUAUAAACCUAUAUGAAGACACAAUAUUCUUUGCCACGUGGCAUUUUAUUCUUAAUUCUCAUAAUUCCACUUUGAAUUAAAUCUUUUUUCUUCUUUUCUUAACACCCAACCCUUCACCUCUCCAUUAUUUUAAUUACAUAUAAGGUAUCAUAUUAAUAUUCUAUCAAUAAGUGAGGUUUGUAACUUCAAUCCACUCCUCUCCUUCAUUAAUCUCCCACCUUCUAUUUUUUGUAACUCUUUUGCAUGCACCAUAAAAAAAAAAUAUUAUUGUCACAUAACAUGCUCUUCUUGAUUCUUUAAUUCCACUUUAAAUCAAAUCACUUUUCUUCUCUUCUCAACGUCCAACCCUUUACCUCCUUUUAAUUACAUGUAAGGUAUCAUAUUAAUAUUCUAUUAAUAAGUGAACUUUGUAACUUCAAUCCACUCCUCUCCUCCAUUAAUCUCACACUCUCUAUCUUUUGUAACUCUUUUGCAUGCACUAGAAAAAAAUAUCAUUGUCUAAUCUCCUACCCCACACUCAUCUUCCUUUUUCUCCUAUUGUGUUAAUGAUGAUACUGAUAAAAAAGAAGAAAAAGAAAAAGAAGAGCUUGUGAAGAACGUUGUCUUCUUCGAGAAGUAUCGUCCCGCGAAGUGGAACCGUGG
rnacentral:lncRNA from 1 species